UUUAAAUUGAGAGUUUGAUCCUGGCUCAGGACGAACGCUGGCGGCGUGCCUAACACAUGCAAGUCGAGCGAUGAAACUUCCUUCGGGGAGUGGAUUAGCGGCGGACGGGUGAGUAACACGUGGGUAACCUGCCUCAAAGAGGGGGAUAGCCUCCCGAAAGGGAGAUUAAUACCGCAUAACAUUAUUUUAUGGCAUCAUAGAAUAAUCAAAGGAGCAAUCCGCUUUGAGAUGGACCCGCGGCGCAUUAGCUAGUUGGUGAGGUAAGGGCUCACCAAGGCGACGAUGCGUAGCCGACCUGAGAGGGUGAUCGGCCACAUUGGAACUGAGACACGGUCCAGACUCCUACGGGAGGCAGCAGUGGGGAAUAUUGCGCAAUGGGGG
rnacentral:rRNA from 1 species